rnacentral:rRNA from 1 species
UACGUAGGUGGCAAGCGUUGUUCGGAAUUACUGGGCGUAAAGCGCGUGUAGGCGGCUCUUCAAGUCAGACGUGAAAGCCCCGGGCUUAACUCGGGAACUGCGUUUGAUACUGUCGAGCUAGAGUCCGGAAGAGGCGAGUGGAAUUCCUGGUGUAGCGGUGAAAUUCGUAGAUAUUCGCAAGAACACCAGUGGCGAAGGCGGCUUACUGGUCCGGUUCUGACGCUGAGGCGCGAAAGCGUGGGGAGCAAACAGG